rnacentral:misc_RNA from 1 species
UCAACUUGUUUGAACUUUUUCUUUUAUUUUUCUUAACGGCAUGCACCCUAAGGGCAGGCUUUCAAUGCAUUGGAUGCUGUGAGUAUUGAUAUUUUUUGUGACUUUUUUAUGAUGACUCUAUUCUCUUCCCCGUCUUAUACGACUAUGCUGAGAAACAGAGGUAAUUCUGUUCGCAACAGAAUAUUUGUGUCCUUUGGGGAUACACAAGUGUACUUGCCAGUGCCAUUUAGUCUGAAUCUGUCUUUUGAAAACUACUUUCUGAUACACUACAACUGACAAUACUUUUUUCUCAGAAACCAAACAACAAUUAUGAAAGCUUCUAUCCGGGUGUGUUAAACUGGUAAGUUGCAUUUUCUUCCCAACUUUUCUGCAGCUUUGUGUCUAUCUAUUAUUCCCUUAUAUGAUGAAAAUUUCCAUACAUUCGCAGUUUCCACUUGAGUGUCCAAUUAGUACUCCCCUAAUGCAGAAUGUUCUUUAUAUUCCCCCUCUAUACCAUGUUGAACCCAUAAAGCAUGUGUUGAGUGUGGGCCAUCUCCAAAAGAGAUGCGCUGGCAGGAAGCAGGGGUUGACACUAUGAGGGUUAUAAUGUCCUUCCUUUGGAUGUCUGAACUACCUUUUCUUUUCACUCUCUUCUUUUUUCUCUUAGAGUGCUGUAACUAAUUGGUCAUAAUCCCCUCCUUGCAGGUACUUAUGGUAUCAGUGAAGUUGUUUAUAUAUUGUACUUCAGUAUAUCAUCAGUAAAGUGGUGCAGUAAGUGUGUUAAAUUAUAACAGUCCAGUCAGUCAGUAUAAGUUAAUAACAGUCAGUCAGUAUAAGUUAAUAACAGUUCAGUCAGUAAGUGUGUUAAGUUAAUAACAGUCCAGUCAGUAAGUGUGUUAAAUUAUAACAGUUAGUCAGUAAACUGUGUUAAGUUACAACAGUUUGGUCAGUAAGUGUGUUAAAUUAUAGUUACUAAAGAUUGGGAAAAAAGAAGGGUACAUAGUUGGAUUAAGUUGUAAACUAAU